GCCUGGGUGGCUCAGUCAGUUGAGCGUCUGACUUCAGCUCAGGUCAUGAUCUCGCAGUUCGUGGGUUCAAGCCCCACAUUGGGCC
rnacentral:tRNA from 1 species